AUGAACAAUAGUGCAAGGAGCAGCAAUCCAAUAAACAGAAAGAUUUCAUAUAUUUAAUCAACUCGGUUGCAUUACAUGGAACACAAUCUGAAAAAGAUAGUACAUGAUCUCCUACAUAUUAAGCAUGAAAAUGACAUUGUAUAAGGUAAAUCUAAAACUAUCUUGUAUUAGCCCCAUUCUACACCUUUCCUAUCAACAACUUAGCCAUGCAUCAUCUUCGUCUUCAUCACCCUUCAUGCUGGAUGACAAGCUUCUCUAUGAACUUCCCGAGGAUGCCUUCUAUGACAUUGUUAUAGCAUGAACGACCACCACCCUGCCCAUUGUUCAGUACUGGAACUGACUGGCAGUGCGCCACUACAACAGAUUAAAUAGACAAAGUGAAAAUUCAGCAUGAGGAGAUGGAAGCCACAUGUACCACUUAAAUAUUCUAGGAUUGAUUAUUUAUAGAACGAACGCUCACAUCAGUUCAGUGUACUAUAAAUGACCAAGAAAAUCCUUGUCAUUCCUUAUUCCUAGCAGAUGCUCGAUUUAAUUGUAACAAGAAUGUAUAACUGUGUACUAGGCGUGCCACUCUGUUAGGCACUCCUAUUUUUUCCCUCAACAUUUUUCUUCUCUUUUGCCAUAUGUCGCAAGCGAAACACAUAUAUUAAGAUCAUAUAUCCAAUAUAUAGACAUUCAUGUCGUAAUUAACAUGGUUCCCUCUUAGUACAAAAAGAGAAGUCUCAUCCUAAGAUCAAAGAUUAGUGACAUUAAGGCAUCUAGAUUAUAGUAUACACAAAAACUGUAAAUUGUAUACUGCAAUUGGAUAGCUGCAAGUAACAGCCCCAAAACUGGGUUAUCAAUUUUUGAGCUGUUAUUCCUUCCUGGCACUCAUUUUCAAAAUUUUCUCCUGAGUUUGCUGGAUGACUCUGAGAAAUUUUUGCCAUUUCCAACCUUUCAAAACCAUGCUAUGUCUUUUUCAGUGGGCAAGACCUCAUUUGCCUCAGCUCAAACCCUCUCAAACCCUAAUUCUAAAUUAUUGGAAUUUAAAGAUGGACUUUGUGAUUACAAAGGAGCUAUCAUUUUCCUUGAGCUGUUGAUCAUCCCAUCUGUCCCUGAGAACCUCCUAUCCUUGUAAACCUUGCAUAUGCAAAAAUAUUGCCAAGUCCCAUGCAAUAUUUUUGAAUUAUGAUUUAUUCAUUUUCUUGCUUUUCUGAGGGAUAAAAUCCAAAGGCAUAUCUAGCCAUCUCCAAAAUUCAUGAGAAUUGGUGGAGUUGAUAUUUAUGUCUAACACAAGCUCUGGCAAAGAUAUUUGCCAUAAUUAAAUAUGGAAAAAUGUCUUUUCCUAUUCAAUACCAAUAUUGCAUUUCUGCCACUUCCUAAAGGAACUACUAUUUUUAUAGCAGGAAAAUUCUCACAUAAAUUGUGGAGCUUGCCCUUGCUAUAUAAUCACAAGUUCCAUCCUUGUUCCAUGUUCCAUAGUUCAAAAUUUUGGCACAUGAUCCAAUGCAAGUUUCUGCCUUCUCUGAAAUUUUGCAAAGGAAGUGCUUUAUUCCUAAUUACAAUUGAGCUGCAAUUUGGUAGGGUGAUUAACCUUCAUAAAUCACACAUGAAUACCAAAGAUGAGCUCAAUCCAUUCAUCUUAGCUCCCUGUGCAAUUUUCCAAAGUUUCUGACCAGAAUGUAACUUUGUGAAGGAAGUACCUUCAUAGAGUUUUCAAAUGGGAUGAAACUUUUUCAUCCUCUCAAGUAUUCCAAAUCAUUAGCCUCCACCUAAAUUCAGUUCAAUUCAUUGAACUAUGAGAGCAUAUGAGCAAUUCUUGGUUUCUGUCCAAAUUUUCAGUUUGUGAAGCAAGUUUAUUUUAUCUUGCUCCAUUAUGGCUGAAAAUAUUCCUAAGCCUUCUCCUCUCCAUACAACCUAUCUCCAACCAAUUUUGGCUCAUUUCAUGUAGCCAGUAUUUUCUUGGAUUUUUCCAAAGUUUCUAGUCAGAUCUGAUGCUUGUGAAACAAGUACCAAUUUGGCAAGUCCAUUUGGUAUGAUCUUUUUGCAGCAUCUACAUAUGACCAAAUAAGGAAGCUUUGCCAAGUUUUAGCCCAAUCCAUCACUCCUAGUGAAUACGCUUUCCAAGUCAGAAAACGUAUUCCCUGGGCACUUCGGCUCAAAAUGCUUUUCCCUGUGCGGAAAACGUAUUCGGCCCAAAGGCACGUUCAGUUUUUCCUCCAGGGGCCUGUUUGCUGAAAAAAUUUCACCGAUAGGUCCCUGAGCUUCAACCCUCCGUAUCUUUUUACCAGUAGCUCCAAAUUAGGUGAUUCCAAAGACCACGUCUUUGUUUUGUCGAGCCCGUUCUGAUGGAAUCAUUUUCACCAUGUUUGCACAUUCUGAAAAUGACCAUUUUGCCCUUGCCCGUAAACAGCCCCCUCCAAGAGAGAACUGUUUCCGGCAAAUCUUUCCGCGAUCGUUCCGCACUUUUUCCGGUGUAAUCCUCAACCCCAGGCAAGCCAACCUCUUAUCACGAGCCCCGAACUCGCAUGUUGACUUUGCUGGCACCUCGCGUGUGUGCUUAGUUGCAGUAGUUUUUGUCUGUUUCGUCUGCCGUUAUUUCAGUUGUGAUAUAUGUUAGUACUGCUUGCUUACCUCUCAUGAUAGCUUUUUCCAUGCUAGUUAUAUUGUUGUUGAUAAUAUCAUGCUUCUGUCUAGUUUAGUUCAUGCCAGUAGUCUUGAUGUUAUGAUGAUUUUGUUGCACCUUCAAUAAGCUAGUAUCUAGUAUUGUUAUGUUUCAUAUGCUAUAACUGUUCACUUGAGUAGCUUGAUAUUUGUUAAUGCAUUUGUUAGUUGCAUGUUCAUUGUUGCAUUCUUGUUGAAUAUGCUCAUAAUAUUGAUGAUGUUGGAGAAGUUAAUAAUAUGACUUAAUAACAAACCUCCUCCGCCAUCACUGGGAUAUCAUAGUGCCACCAAAUCGAGCUUUCUCCAGUGCAACCACAUUUACCUUGUGGGAAGGUCCUAGCUGGGUCUAGUGUCAUGCCUCUCGCCGGUGCCUCCCGCGAGGGAAGGUUAUGGGCGCGCUUACCCUGAUCAGGUAGGCGGACAUAAGCCUUGUGUGCCCGGGUUUGGUUUUGAGCUCAUGUCCUCGUUUGGGACCGUUUUUCCACGACGGUGGCCGUCGGUACCUUUGGUAGGUAUGGGGCCACCCAGGACCGAACCCUUAAGGGGUGUUGGUCGGAGUGGCCGGGAGGGCGUCAUGGCAGUAGAUCGGUUUUGUCGGAAUGCUUUGGUCCGCGUGUAUGGGAGUGCGAGACUAGGGUUCCGUGUGUGGGUAAAGUGCGCUACCUCUGCAGAGUGUAUUCAAUCUAUCGAUAGCCGCGUCCUCGGUCAUGGGUACAGGUUCGUAGUAGGUCACACUAUCGGGUCUCGGUCGAAAUGGAGGAUAAAUCAACUAAUAAAUUAUGUGAUAACUAAUGUGAUGGCUUGGACUAUGAAAUAAUCGUGAGAAGUCACGAUGAUGUGUUGAUAUGACCCCGAGACGAGGUCUCGGUAAGUCAUGAUUGUGCUCCGAGGAGCCGUGGCAGAGUAAGUGAUUGUGGCAUAAGGUUAUUACAACAUGUCUUCAUGGGAGGUAACUGGUAGUUUAUUUUCAGCAUAGUUUCAUGAUGCCAUGCCCUGUUUUGAUAUGCUAUGCUUUGCUGUUGUUAUGAUAGAAGUAAGUUUGAUAUGCCAUCAUAGUUGAUGCUAUGAUGUUGUUCAUGCCUAGUUUGAAUUAUGAUUCUAGUUAAUAUCAUGCCAUGCUUAGAAGUUGUGUUGAUGUAGACUGUUGCAUAUGCUUGGUUCUUGCUUUGUCUUCUGUUUGUUUGGAUGCUAUGUAUUUGGUUGUCUUGCAAGUACAUUCAAUGUACUGACCUGGCGUGUCAUGCCAGUUUUGUAGGUCGUUCGCUUGUUCCGUCGUGCUAGGUCGUAAUCAUGCCAGUCCUGUGCGUUAUGGAGCCCAGCCUUAAUAAGACGCUGCCAAACCAAGACUUCCGCCGCCAUUUAUAUGGACUUCCGCUGCCAUGUAAAUAGCCUUAGGGCUAUGCCAGAAAAUUGUAUUCAUCAAUGAUGUAAUCUUAUACACAUGUAUUUGAUGAAUAUUAUUGUACCUGGAAUGCUGUAUCAUGGACCUGUCGUGCGUCAGGCGUAAUCCCGGGCUGACGUGCGAAGGCCCCCUGCUCCAUGCGGAUCAGGGUGCCACAGGAGAUGGUAUCAGAGCAGCCAGGCUGGCAUAGGUUAUCCUAGCAUUAGAUCACCG
rnacentral:lncRNA from 1 species